rnacentral:rRNA from 1 species
GACGAACGCUGGCGGCGUGCUUAACACAUGCAAGUCGAACGGGCCUUGUCCCCUUUUUUUUUGGGGGUGGGGUUAGUGGCGAACGGGUGAGUAACACGUGAGUAACCUGCCCCUCACUUCUGGAUAACCGCUUGAAAGGGUGGCUAAUACGGGGUGUUCUGGCCUGCUCGCAUGGGUGGGUUUGGAAAGAUUCGACCGGUUUGGUUGUUUUGGUGGGGGAUGGGCUCGCGGCCUAUCAGCUUGUUGGUGGGGUGAUGGCCUGCCAAGGCUUUGACGGGUAGCCGGCCUGGGAGGGUGGGCGGUCACACUGGGACUGAGACACGGCCCAGACUCCGACGGGAGGCAGCAGUGGGGAAUAUUGCACAAUGGGCGCAAGCCUGAUGCAGCGACGCCGCGUGAGGGAUGGAGGCCUUCGGGUUGUGAACCUCUUUCGCCAGUGAAGAAGGUCCUGCUCUUUGUGGUGGGGUUGACGGUAGCUGGGUUAAUGAAGCGCCGGCUAACUACGUG